rnacentral:other from 1 species
GACCGCCUGCCCUGUUGGUGAUUAUAUGAGAAAGUUAUUCCGACUCACGUAAGUUCGGGAGCCUUAGUAAGAGCGCUCAGAGAGCAUGCCGCUUUAGGCGGAAGCCCAACGCGUUCUUUUCGGCACCCACCUGUGAAAGCAGGGACUUAACUUUCUUGUGUACACCGCAAGGGCGGGUUUUAU